rnacentral:misc_RNA from 1 species
UCGUACUACAGAGGCACGAGGGCUGUCGCUGACCUUUUUCAAAGGUCGUGCACGCCCGAGCGCUCUCGCCUACAAUCCACCUCACCACUUGUGCAUCACCGCGCGGGGCCUCCCUCUUGGCUCGCUUCGAGAGAGGCUCGCGUUCUUCACAUCACACACACACCUUUUUAGUUUUGAAUGUCAUUCAUUUGCGAUAACACGCAAUCAAUA